rnacentral:rRNA from 1 species
UACGGGGGGGAGCAAGCGUUGUUCGGAUUUACUGGGCGUAAAGGGCGCGUAGGCGGCAUGACAAGUCACUUGUGAAAUCUCUGGGCUUAACCCAGAACGGCCAAGUGAUACUGUCACGCUAGAGUGCGGAAGGGGCAAUCGGAAUUCUUGGUGUAGCGGUGAAAUGCGUAGAUAUCAAGAGGAACACCUGAGGUGAAGACGGGUUGCUGGGCCGACACUGACGCUGACAGCGCGAAAGCCAGGGGAGCAAACGGG